AAAGGCGAAAAGAACCCCGGCGAGGGGAGUGAAAAAGAACCUGAAACCGUGUACGUACAAGCAGUGGGAGCACGCUUAGGCGUGUGACUGCGUACCUUUUGUAUAAUGGGUCAGCGACUUAUAUUCUGUAGCAAGGUUAACCGAAUAGGGGAGCCGAAGGGAAACCGAGUCUUAACUGGGCGUUAAGUUGCAGGGUAUAGACCCGAAACCCGGUGAUCUAGCCAUGGGCAGGUUGAAGGUUGGGUAACACUAACUGGAGGACCGAACCGACUAAUGUUGAAAAAUUAGCGGAUGACUUGUGGCUGGGGGUGAAAGGCCAAUCAAACCGGGAGAUAGCUGGUUCUCCCCGAAAGCUAUUUAGGUAGCGCCUCGUGAAUUCAUCUCCGGGGGUAGAGCACUGUUUCGGCAAGGGGGUCAUCCCGACUUACCAACCCGAUGCAAACUGCGAAUACCGGAGAAUGUUAUCACGGGAGACACACGGCGGGUGCUAACGUCCGUCGUGAAGAGGGAAACAACCCAGACCGCCAGCUAAGGUCCCAAAGUCAUGGUUAAGUGGGAAACGAUGUGGGAAGGCCCAGACAGCCAGGAUGUUGGCUUAGAAGCAGCCAUCAUUUAAAGAAAGCGUAAUAGCUCACUGGUCGAGUCGGCCUGCGCGGAAGAUGUAACGGGGCUAAACCAUGCACCGAAGCUGCGGCAGCGACGCUGAUGCGUUGUUGGGUAGGGGAGCGUUCUGUAAGCCUGCGAAGGUGUGCUGUGAGGCAUGCUGGAGGUAUCAGAAGUGCGAAUGCUGACAUAAGUAACGAUAAAGCGGGUGAAAAGCCCGCUCGCCGGAAGACCAAGGGUUCCUGUCCAACGUUAAUCGGGGCAGGGUGAGUCGACCCCUAAGGCGAGGCCGAAAGGCGUAGUCGAUGGGAAACAGGUUAAUAUUCCUGUACUUGGUGUUACUGCGAAGGGGGGACGGAGAAGGCUAUGUUGGCCGGGCGACGGUUGUCCCGGUUUAAGCGUGUAGGCUGGUUUUCCAGGCAAAUCCGGAAAAUCAAGGCUGAGGCGUGAUGACGAGGCACUGCGGUGCUGAAGCAACAAAUGCCCUGCUUCCAGGAAAAGCCUCUAAGCAUCAGGUAACAUCAAAUCGUACCCCAAACCGACACAGGUGGUCAGGUAGAGAAUACCAAGGCGCUUGAGAGAACUCGGGUGAAGGAACUAGGCAAAAUGGUGCCGUAACUUCGGGAGAAGGCACGCUGAUAUGUAGGUGAAGUCCCUCGCGGAUGGAGCUGAAAUCAGUCGAAGAUACCAGCUGGCUGCAACUGUUUAUUAAAAACACAGCACUGUGCAAACACGAAAGUGGACGUAUACGGUGUGACGCCUGCCCGGUGCCGGAAGGUUAAUUGAUGGGGUUAGCGCAAGCGAAGCUCUUGAUCGAAGCCCCGGUAAACGGCGGCCGUAACUAUAACGGUCCUAAGGUAGCGAAAUUCCUUGUCGGGUAAGUUCCGACCUGCACGAAUGGCGUAAUGAUGGCCAGGCUGUCUCCACCCGAGACUCAGUGAAAUUGAACUCGCUGUGAAGAUGCAGUGUACCCGCGGCAAGACGGAAAGACCCCGUGAACCUUUACUAUAGCUUGACACUGAACAUUGAGCCUUGAUGUGUAGGAUAGGUGGGAGGCUUUGAAGUGUGGACGCCAGUCUGCAUGGAGCCGACCUUGAAAUACCACCCUUUAAUGUUUGAUGUUCUAACGUUGACCCGUAAUCCGGGUUGCGGACAGUGUCUGGUGGGUAGUUUGACUGGGGCGGUCUCCUCCUAAAGAGUAACGGAGGAGCACGAAGGUUGGCUAAUCCUGGUCGGACAUCAGGAGGUUAGUGCAAUGGCAUAAGCCAGCUUGACUGCGAGCGUGACGGCGCGAGCAGGUGCGAAAGCAGGUCAUAGUGAUCCGGUGGUUCUGAAUGGAAGGGCCAUCGCUCAACGGAUAAAAGGUACUCCGGGGAUAACAGGCUGAUACCGCCCAAGAGUUCAUAUCGACGGCGGUGUUUGGCACCUCGAUGUCGGCUCAUCACAUCCUGGGGCUGAAGUAGGUCCCAAGGGUAUGGCUGUUCGCCAUUUAAAGUGGUACGCGAGCUGGGUUUAGAACGUCGUGAGACAGUUCGGUCCCUAUCUGCCGUGGGCGCUGGAGAACUGAGGGGGGCUGCUCCUAGUACGAGAGGACCGGAGUGGACGCAUCACUGGUGUUCGGGUUGUCAUGCCAAUGGCACUGCCCGGUAGCUAAAUGCGGAAGAGAUAAGUGCUGAAAGCAUCUAAGCACGAAACUUGCC
rnacentral:rRNA from 1 species